rnacentral:rRNA from 1 species
GAUGAACGCUGGCGGCGUGCCUAACACAUGCAAGUCGAGCGAUUCUCUUCGGAGAAGAGCGGCGGACGGGUGAGUAACGCGUGGGUAACCUGCCCUGUACACACGGAUAACAUACCGAAAGGUAUGCUAAUACGAGAUAAUAUGCUUUUAUCGCAUGGUAGAAGUAUCAAAGCUCCGGCGGUACAGGAUGGACCCGCGUCUGAUUAGCUAGUUGGUAAGGUAACGGCUUACCAAGGCGACGAUCAGUAGCCGACCUGAGAGGGUGAUCGGCCACAUUGGAACUGAGACACGGUCCAAACUCCUACGGGAGGCAGCAGUGGGGAAUAUUGCACAAUGGGCGAAAGCCUGAUGCAGCAACGCCGCGUGAGCGAUGAAGGCCUUCGGGUCGUAAAGCUCUGUCCUCAAGGAAGAUAAUGACGGUACUUGAGGAGGAAGCCCCGGCUAACUACGUGCCAGCAGCCGCGGUAAU